rnacentral:rRNA from 1 species
UACGUAGGGGGCAAGCGUUGUCCGGAAUCAUUGGGCGUAAAGCGCGUGUAGGUGGCUCGGUAAGUCCGCUCUGAAAGCCCGGGGCUCAACCCCGGGAGGCGGGUGGAUACUGCUGAGCUCGAGUCCGGAAGAGGAGUGUGGAAUUCCUGGUGUAGCGGUGAAAUGCGCAGAUAUCAGGAGGAACACCGGUGGCGAAGGCGGUUCUCUGGGCCUUACCUGACGCUGAGGAGCGAAAGCAUGGGGAGCAAACAGG